CUGUUUUCGGCAGCACAUUUACCAAACUUGGAAUGAUACAGAGAUUAGUGUGGCCCCUGCACAAGGAUGACACACAAAUUCAUGAAGGAGAAAGCCCGUUG
rnacentral:snRNA from 1 species